GACGAACGCUGGCGGCGUGCUUAACACAUGCAAGUCGAACGGAAAGACGCUGCGUUUGUUGGUUUCUCGAUUGGCGAACGGGUGAGUAACACGUGAGUAACCUGCCCUUAACUGUGUGGUAACUUCAGGGAACUCGGGCGCAUACCCGGUAUGAUCUCCUGCUGCAUGUGGUGGGUUGGAAAAUGUCGGCGUUUGGGGAUGUACUCGCUGCGUGUCAGCUUGUUUGUGUGGUAGUGACUUACCAGGGCUUUGACGGGUAGCCGGCCUGAGAGGGUGAUCGGCCACACGGGAGGUUAGACACGGCCCGGGGACCUACGGGAGGCCCCGGUAGGGAAGCGGCGGCAGUGGGCGGAAGCCUUACGGAGCGACGCCGCGUGAGUGAUGAAAGGCUUCGGAUCGGAAAACUCUGUUAUGAGGGAAGAACAAUUGUGUAAGUAACUAUGCACGUCGUGACGGUACCUAAUCAGAAAGCCACGGCUAACCACGUG
rnacentral:rRNA from 1 species